rnacentral:rRNA from 1 species
AGGACGAACGCUGGCGGCGCGCUUAACGCAUGCAAGUCGAACGAGCUCCAACCAGUGGCAACACUGGGGAAGAGCGAGUGGCGAACGGGUGAGUAACACGUGAGAAACCCACCCUGGAGACCGGGAUAAACCCUCCGAAAGGAGAGCUAAUACCGGAUACCCUCAUCGGAUCGCAUGAUCUGAUGAGGAAAUGGAUUCCGCUCCAGGACGGUCUCGCGGGCUAUCAGCUAGUUGGUGGGGUAACGGCCCACCAAGGCGACGACGGCUAGCUGGUCUGAGAGGACGAUCAGCCACACUGGGACUGAGACACGGCCCAGACUCCUACGGGAGGCAGCAGUGGGGAAUUUUCCGCAAUGGGCGAAAGCCUGACGGAGCAAGACCGCGUGGGGGAAGAAGGCUCGUUGGGUUGUAAACCCCUUUUUCUCAGGGAAGAAGAACUGACGGUACCUGAGGAAUAAGCAUCGGCUAACUCCGUGCCAGCAGCCGC